GGUACUAUGACCCUCACUGGGAGGUGGGGGGUGGGAGUGGUGGCAUGAGCUGGGAGAUACAUGAAGCCCAAGAAAAGUACCCUGGAACAUUAAUCUCUCACCAAAAGCGCACAAGCAACAGGCUUUUUGUAUGCAACAAAGUUGUGCAUGGUACCUCUGAUUUGAAAUAUUCCACCAAAAGCACAAAUAUGUUUCUUUUUUCCCCUCUUCAAUGAGAAAUGUUUCCAAACGACCUGAAAACAAGAUGUAAUUUUGGGACAUGUAGUCAGGUGAAGAGGUUGUACUCAUUUUCUUCUCCUCCUAACUAAAAUCACACCUGUCCCAUGAACAAGCCUCCUCUGCAUGACUCCGGAACACUCCAGCACUGGUGACUAUGGACAUCUACCAUACGUUUGACAGAAUGCUAAGCACGGCACAGUCAUCACAUUCAAGGUUCCCUGCAACCUGUGAGGCACAUGCAAAUGGAAUAAUAUUCUCUCCACUGAACAUUGCUGCUUCCUGGACCUUCUAAAGCUCAAGCCAAACUCCUCUUUUUGUUUUUAAGAGACAUUGCCUCACACAAAGAAUAUAUUAAACAUUGAUCUUGAGCAAGAGCAUUCAAGAGCAAAUUGGGAUCCAGGCUAUUUUCAGCUGGGACAACCAUUUCCUUCCAGCUUCACUUGAAGAUCAGAUGUUUGACUCUUCCAGGAAUCAAGGUGAAGAAGGAUAAACAUGCAAGUUUGAAGAAAAAGAAAAAAAGCAACCCAACUUGUGUUUUCUACAGCAUAACUGUCAACAUCCUGCUGGAAGUUCAAAUUAAGAAACAUCAAGGAAGCAUUUCAUAUAAACUGAAUAAAACGCAGAUGACUCAGUCAUCCAUGCAGCUUUGAGUGGAGUGGGCUGUUGUGCA